GACGAACGCUGGCGGCGUGCCUAAUACAUGCAAGUCGAACGCAGUGGGGACGGGUGAGUAACACGUGGGUAACCUCCCCAUCAGAGGGGAUAACACUUGGAAACAGGUGCUAAACCGAUACUGAUGGAUGGACCCGCGGUGCAUUAGCUAGUUGGUGAGGUAACGGCUCACCAAGGCCACGAUGCAUAGACGACAUGAGAGGGUGAUCGGCCACACUGGGACUGAGACACGGCCCAGACUCCUACGGGAGGCAGCAGUAGGGAAUCUUAGGCAAUGGACGAAAGGCUGACAGAGCAACGCCGCGGGAGUGAAGAAGGUGUGCGGAUCGGAAAACUCAGUUGUUAGAGAAGCGGUAUCUAACCAGAAAGCCACGGCUAACUACGUGCCAGCAGCCGCGGUAAUAC
rnacentral:rRNA from 1 species